GACGAACCGUGCAAACGUUAUUCGGAAUCACUGGGCUUAAAGGGCGCGUAGGCGGGCAGGCAAGUCAGGGGUGAAAGCCCACGGCUCAACCGUGGAAGCGCCUUUGAUACUGCCGGUCUCGAGGGAGGUAGGGGCGUGCGGAACUUCCGGUGGAGCGGUGAAAUGCGUAGAUAUCGGAAGGAACACCGGUGGCGAAAGCGGCGCGCUGGACCUCUUCUGACGCUGAGGCGCGAAAGCGUGGGGAGCAAACAGG
rnacentral:rRNA from 1 species